rfam:Triticum aestivum genome assembly, contig: Triticum_aestivum_CS42_TGACv1_scaffold_577176_7BL
CUUGUACUCCCUCCGUCCGAAAAUACUUGUCAUUGAAAUGGAUGUAUCUAGAUGUAUUUUAGUUCUAGACACAUCCAUUUUGAUGACAAGUAAUUCCGGACGGAGGGAGUACUUA